rnacentral:snoRNA from 1 species
UGGGUGCGAUGACGUCAGGCAGCGACGUUUACUGAUGCCGGCCUUCCGUUGCAGACUUUCACGCACCGUUGUCCGUCCCGGAUGAGUGAGGGAAGCGCGAGCAAGAAGGUUAUUUAGAUGGGCGCGGUUGUCGGAGCAUCUUUGUUCACUUGCGUCGGGGCCGAGAUGACCAUAUGACGCAUAAAACGGCUUUCUUAUGCUACGUAUGCACAAGCGUGCAGCUAGCUACUCCGUACUCAUAUCACUAACUCCGUACCUUUGGAGCUUUGGAAUUCAACUGCUUUUUAACUCCCUACAUUCUCCGGACUCCGUACUUCUUGCCCGUUAUGGUA